AGCAGCCGCCACGGUAAUACGGAGGGUGCAAGCGUUAAUCGGAAUUACUGGGCGUAAAGCGCACGCAGGCGGUUUGUUAAGUCAGAUGUGAAAUCCCCAAGCUUAACUUGGGAACUGCAUUUGAAACUGGCAAGCUAGAGUCUUGUAGAGGGGGGUAGAAUUCCAGGUGUAGCGGUGAAAUGCGUAGAGAUCUGGAGGAAUACCGGUGGCGAAGGCGGCCCCCUGGACAAAGACUGACGCUCAGGUGCGAAAGCGUGGGGAGCAAACAGGAUUAGAUACCCGCGUAGUCCCUGUCUCUUAUAC
rnacentral:rRNA from 1 species